AUGAGGAGGCAGAUGAAGUCAAGUCAAAAACUUUACUCAUUUCAAUGAAAUUUGCUUUAAAAAAAAGACAAAACAGAUUUGGACCGAUGAAGUUUUUCUAGGACGUUAAAGAUGAUCAUUACAUGUGUUACUGGGAACAGCGUGCGUCGUAUGGCAAAGCUUUUAUUAUUAAUUCUGCAACCUUGCCAUUGGCCAUGCAGGUAUUGGUUAUUUACACCGAGUCAGCAGAAGAGCUGAAGCGAGCUAAUCCAGCCACAUACAG